AUAAAUAAAAUCACAUAAAUCUUAGUCAGUUGAAAUCUUCUUCCAGCUGUUUAGGUAGAGUGUCUGAUCUUCUGCAGUCUUGCAGUAGCAUUUAUGACAAUUGUAAUUGUAUUAAAUUCAUAUUUAAUUGUUUCAUUUCUGUAACCAAGUUUUCUACUUUCAGAAGUUUAUUAGCAAACAUCAGUUGCUUUUGUUCCUCUUUCCUUUCCCGUUUAGUUUCUCUACAUCUCUUUCUUUUUACCUUUCUCAUUCAUUUUUGUUUACUUUGCUUUUGGACAGGAAUGUCUCCUAAAGUGUAUUUGGGUCGAGAGGGAUUCAUAAAUCCUACAACUCCAUUCUCACCUAUUCUUACAACAACUGUUAGCUUGAGAAUUAGAUUCUAUGUUAAAAUAACCAGUGAUGGUAUUCCUUAGGCAAAGUCAUUAAUCCUAAACAAAUAAGUAUCAGCAUUUAUGGUCUCAAAAUGCAGUAAUGACACAUAUCUGAAAAACACACAAACUUGUAACAGGCAACAGACCCAUCUCUGGAACCCUAACUCGAGGACUUGAGGGAUGUGGUAGCCUAGUGGUUAAGGUGUUGGACAACUGACUGGAAGGUCAAAUCCCAGGUCCACCAAGCUGCCACUGCUGGGCCCUUGAGCAAGGCCCUUAACCCUCAAUUGCUUUGUUGUAUAAAUUGUAAGUCACUCUGGAUAAGAGAAUCUUCUAAAUGCUGUAAAUUUUAGCUGUGUUGUUUUCUGUAGCUCCAGUGAAGCAUCAGUGAUUUCAGUGUGGCUGAAAUGACAAUAAAAGCUUCUUGACUUGUGUGUGUAGUGUGUAGGGGGAACUACAUGCGUGUGUGUGUGUGUGUGUGUGUGUGUGUGUGUGUGUGUGUGUGUGUGUGUGUGUGUGUGUGUGUGUGAGAUUGAGUAACGGAAAGAGUAGGUAGGACCUGGGCUGAAAAGCGAAAACAAAAGCACAGAACCCUACUGAGCUCAUAGUUGGUUUUUAAAAGAAGAUCAGCUUCAAAUUAGGAAAUCUGCCCAAAAUGGGUGGACAGAAAUCAAAACCAGAAUCAGAACCAGAAGUUUUCAAGCAACCUUGGAGAAACAUCGACUGGAACCCGAACAAUCUGAAAUCUGAGUUAAGUGAACUUCUUACAUUUAUGGAAAACCACCAAGACAUCAAGCAGUUCAGAAUACUGCUUCAUGGACCAGCUGGAGCUGGGAAGUCCUGCUUUAUAAACUCAGUGAUGAGCGUAUACAAGGGAAGAAUUGUAUUCAGGGCAGCUGAGGAGAACUCUGCUGGAAAGAGCUGCACAAAUAAAUACAAAACUUACAAAAUCACUGACAAAGAUUCUGUCACUUUGCCGUUUGUCAUCAGUGAUGUUAUGGGUCUGGAAGAUGAAGAUAAAGACGGAAUUCAUCCUAAUGAUAUCAAAAAUGUGCUGCAUGGCCAUGUCAAAGAAGGCUAUAAAUUUAAUCCUGUUUCUCAACUGACUUAUGAUGAUCCAGGCUACAUAGAUAAACCCAGUGUGAAUGACAAAGUUUACUGUUUGGUGAGCGUAUUGGAUGCAAUGUGCAUCUCCUUAAUGGAGAAUAAGAUGAUUCAGAAGAUGAAAGCUGUCCGAGAAUCUGCCCUCGAAUUGGCGCCCCCCGCCGAGGCUGACGUGGGGGAACUCCCAAGCCCUGUUCCAGGCCGAUGCUAAACCCUGUAUGAGAUGUGUUCGGUGAAGACUUUUUUCAAGAACUUGUCCUUUACACAAAGUGAUGCAAGCCGAGUUGCACAGCAGCCCACAGCACAAUGCACACUUGUUAACACGCUUCUGUUUCAUGUGUUUUGUAUUGAUUUAUGUCUUGUCUCUGCCCACAUCCUGCCACUCAUCACUGAUCCCCCUUGUGUGUCAGGAUUAAUCUCACCUCUUCUCUGACUAGUGUCUCUGUAUCCUCUGUGCACCCUGACAGCUUUCUUUAACUUAUCUGUGAACCCCAGGCAUCCCUCAUGUGGUUCUGAUGACAAAAAUCGAUACUGAUGUCUGCCCACUGGUUACAAAGGAUCUAGCUGAGGUUUACAAAAGCAGGAAAAUCAAAGAAAAGAUGCAGGAAUGCAGCCACACAAUUGGUCCACCACUGAAAUGCAUCUUCCCAGUGAGCAACUAUUAUAAGGAGACUGAAAUAGAUGACAAAAAAGAUGUGCUUAUUCUGUCAGCAUUAAAGGGAAUUGUAGGAUUUGUUAACGAUUACACUGAAGACAUAAACAUCUGAGAAUUUGCUAAAAACUUAAUUUGGAAAACAGAAUUGGGACGUAGGUCUUUAAUAUCAUCAAAUCUUUAUUGAGCAAAUAUAUUAAUCUUGAAUAACUACUUCAACUAUAACUACAAACACAAAGUCAUAAAAUUGUAAUUUGUGCCUGUGAUUACUUGUAAUGACGCGUCACAUGGCUGAUGAUCCAUCUGCAGCUUUUAUUAAUCGUAGACAAAACAUGCACGGUCAGGGCAGGCAAACACAACAACAUAGUAUAGGCAAAAAUCGUAAAUGGGAAACUGGCAAAAAGGUCAGGACAGGCAGGAAACAAUCGAGAAACCAAAGACAGAAACAGAGUCAAAAAACCAGAACAGGAAACAAACAUGGGACACGCUCAGACUGACUGCAAAAGCAAAUCGAGACUUCGCACUGGUGUCAAGUUCAAGUGCGCUUAAGUAGUGUGGGAAAUUGGUUACAGCUGGCUGCGUAAUUAGCCCCGGUGCGGGCAUUGUGGGAACUGCACAAUUGCCUAUUAUUAAAUUUAAGCCUCUCAUCUGCUAUGCUACAGCUCAGUGUUAUUUUUAAUGUUAUUCAUACAUUCAAUCUUCUAUUACAUAAUGACUAUCAGUGAUGUCAUAUUUGACUUUGAUUAACAAUUUUUUUAUUGUAUUUCCAAUUUUUUAUCUAUUCACUAUAAUAUUUUGUUUAUUUUUCUGAGAACUAUAAUUAUUGCAUGUAUAAACAUUUUGUAAUGGGGUUUAAAGCUGUGGGUUGUUUUCUUGUUCAUUAUUAUAGCAUCAUCAAAAUAAACAAUUGUGCCAUAAAUGUGUCAUUAGUGUAAACAAACAAAAUAGUAGAAAUGUUAUAAAUAAUAAUUACAGUGAAGACCUGCGAACUCCUGUUUGGUACCUGAUGUCUCCGGCUCCUUCAGCAGUUCAUUUCUUCUUGUCUUGAGGUCUAUUGAAAAAGGCCCUGGUUCUCAGAGUAGUAAGGUCUUUUACACAGGAAUCACAUCAAUUAAGUCAAUCUGACUGUUUAAACCUGGUGCAUAUUAAUAUCUAUUAUUAUCUGUUAACAUGUAUUCUAUUAACCUUUAUAUUAUUCUUUAUAAUAACCUUUUGUUUUAUGUUUGUUCUGUAAAGCUGCUUUGAGACAAUGUCAAAUGUAAAAAGCACUGUACAAAUAAACUCGAAUUGAAUAGAAUUGA